CUUCCUCCCCCCUUUCUUUCCUUCCUCCCCCCUUUUCUUUCCUUUUUUCCCUUUUUCCCUCCUUUUCUCUCUUUCCCCCCUUUUCAUUUUUCCUUUUUUCCCCUAUUUUUUUUCCUUUUUAUUUUUAUUUUUUAAUCAUCAUUUUUUUCUUUUUGCAAUAGGAGUCUUUGCCUGCUUUUCUUUCUUGGUUCUGUACAAAGAAGCCUUGGAAGGUUAUCUGCUGCUAUCAGGAAUGCUACUCUUGGUCUUCCUCAGUUACCCAAACACGGAUUUCUGUGUUUUAAACUCUCAGUGGACGCUUUUUCCUUAUUAUAGCUAACGUAAAUCCAGGAGAUUGCAUAGAAGAGUUUCCUACAAAUCCCCUUCUUUCUCUUUGCGAUCCGGCAGCCAGAAAGCCUCCAUCCUCCAGUAAUUCGUUGUAGGCCCCAUUUGAACCCUCCCUCCCCUUUCGCCCGCGCUGCAGGAAAUGGACGCCUUACUCCCCCUGCCUCGCGUGAGCAGUGGUACAGCCCGCCCACCUCUCGCGAGAGCAGUGGUGCGGACAGCCCCCCGCCGUAGGGUGGUACAUCCUGAGCCCUUAUAAGCGGCGGCCGCGAUUCUUCCCGCCCUUUCUCCUCGUGCGGCAGGUGGGGUUUGGUGUUAUGGUGGCUCUCGGUAGAGCUGCGGUGAGGGCCCCCAUCCCCCGGGCAGCGGUGGUGCACGCCGUGCCUCCUCGUCCCCCAAGGGCUAUAGGCCCGACCGCUCGAGGUGGCAGUUGAGGGAGAUGAAGGAGAGCUGGCCUCGCUCCUCCCGUCCCCGCAGGCCCUUAUGGAGGCGGAUGGCGGUACCGCGCCCGGCCGGGAGUGCGCAGGCAGCGCUGGAACGGCCCUGCGGUCCGUCCUGAGAUCGACUGCUGAGGAGUACUGCUUUAAUGCUUGUUUGGUGUCUAUUCCCCCAGCGGAACGAUGCCCUGAAGCAAAGAAAGCUGGGAUUUGCAGAUGAUGUGAUACAAUAAGGAGUGGGAGCAGGCAUCUGUCUGGAGAUGGCCAUAAUGUGAAGCCCUUCAGAAGGCCUUGGGACAGAAGUGAGACUGCAAGGGCAAGAGAUUGUUCUGGGUGUUGAUGCUGAAAGCACAUUUGUUUGAGGAAGAAGGAACCCAAUGGAACAUGAGUGAGCUUGGCAACUGACCUUUGUAAACGUCACCUGUUUUUCUGUGGUAAAAGAAUAAAAAAGGCAGAUGUUGCUGACCAUUUUGCCCACUUGGUGUCACCAAGUGAAAGAUUUUAAUGUACUUCAGAGUAUAUGUAGAAAGAAGGUAAUGAUUAUUAAUUAACUGCAUGUGACCACAUGCUUAUGCGGUGGGAAUGGGAAUCUAAGGCUGUCAGCUCAAAGUAGAAUAUAUGUGGAUGUUGCUUUUGAAAGGGAUGAAAAUUCCAUCCUAUAUGGAAGUUCUUAGGAUGUGUGCCAGGAAGCAGCCCUUAAGCAAAGCUGGCAAAGCAGCUGUCAGUCAAAAAUUGAAGUUUGGAAGUAGCAAGGAGUUAGGAAUCACCUAG
ensembl:lncRNA